CAUUUCAAGACCAGAUACCGUUCGAUAUUGACGUCAAACCCAUCAACGAUGUCCUACUGUUUACACCCAUAUCCUUUAUGCAAACGUACAAUUUUCGUUAUCGUCGUCAUAGAGCGUGAUUAUCAAGCGCCAUUAUAAACAUCGUUAUCGCAAUUGUAGCUAUAACAUUCAAACUAGACUGAUCAUUUUAAUGAAGCUAAUCAAGACGAUGAUGUUUGGAACAUCAGUUCGAGAGUAAAUCAACAAAAUCAAGAUGGAACACCACCAAAUUGGCCAACACACGAUCAUCGAUUAAGUAUGGAUUUCGUAAUUACACCGGAAUAUAAUAUUAAAGAUACCAGGCCACCACCUCCUCCUUAUUCAGAACUUGAUUUACCAAGUUAUGAACAAGCAACAGGAUGUCGUCCACCAAGAGCAGAUCUUACACCAGUUCAUCAACAAUCGGAUCAAAAUAGACCAGGUCCAUCGAGUUAAAGAAACUUAAUAUAAAAUAUCCUUCUUAAAUCACUAUUUAAUUGAUAGAAAAGAUAAUCUGGAUCAUUCCGUUUUGAAGCAAACCCAAAAAAUACCAUUUAAGUAUUAUUUAGUUUGCACCGCACUGACGUAUCCAGUAUUCUUUGUGUUUUAAUAAAUUUUAAGAGAAAAACAUUAUAUAAAUUAGAGAAGAAAUUUGAUGUGUACAUAAUGUUUUAAGUUGUACAUAUAUUUUAUAUUCGGCACUGUGAUGUUAGUUAUGUAAGUGAUGUUAAAAGGCUUUUUUUCGUACUUUGUGUUUAAAUAUAUAGACAUAAAACAAAAAUAAAAUAAACUUUAAAGAACCAUAACAAUCGUAUUUAUUAUAAUGUAUCAAUUAAUUAAUCGGUCUGACGUCAAUAAAUUUGUAAAAGUCUUGUAAAUAUAUGUAAAUACUCAAUAAAGAUUUUGAGGAGGCAA
rnacentral:misc_RNA from 1 species